GCCUAAUACAUGCAAGUCGAACGAGUUCUGAUUAUUGAAAGGUGCUUGCAUCUUGAUUUAAUUUUGAACGAGUGGCGGACGGGUGAGUAACACGUGGGUAACCUGCCCUUAAGUGGGGGAUAACAUUUGGAAACAGAUGCUAAUACCGCAUAAAUCCAAAAACCGCAUGGUUCUUGGCUGAAAGAUGGCGUAAGCUAUCGCUUUUGGAUGGACCCGCGGCGUAUUAGCUAGUUGGUGAGGUAACGGCUCACCAAGGCAAUGAUACGUAGCCGAACUGAGAGGUUGAUCGGCCACAUUGGGACUGAGACACGGCCCAAACUCCUACGGGAGGCAGCAGUAGGGAAUCUUCCACAAUGGACGCAAGUCUGAUGGAGCAACGCCGCGUGAGUGAAGAAGGCUUUCGGGUCGUAAAACUCUGUUGUUGGAGAAGAAUGGUCGGCAGAGUAACUGUUGUCGGCGUGACGGUAUCCAACCAGAAAGCCACGGCUAACUACGUGCCAGCAGCCGCGGUAAUACGUAGGUGGCAAGCGUUAUCCGGAUUUAUUGGGCGUAAAGCGAGCGCAGGCGGUUUUUUAAGUCUGAUGUGAAAGCCCUCGGCUUAACCGAGGAAGUGCAUCGGAAACUGGGAAACUUGAGUGCAGAAGAGGACAGUGGAACUCCAUGUGUAGCGGUGAAAUGCGUAGAUAUAUGGAAGAACACCAGUGGCGAAGGCGGCUGUCUGGUCUGUAACUGACGCUGAGGCUCGAAAGCAUGGGUAGCGAACAGGAUUAGAUACCCUGGUAGUCCAUGCCGUAAACGAUGAAUGCUAGGUGUUGGAGGGUUUCCGCCCUUCAGUGCCGCAGCUAACGCAUUAAGCAUUCCGCCUGGGGAGUACGACCGCAAGGUUGAAACUCAAAGGAAUUGACGGGGGCCCGCACAAGCGGUGGAGCAUGUGGUUUAAUUCGAAGCAACGCGAAGAACCUUACCAGGUCUUGACAUCUUUUGAUCACCUGAGAGAUCAGGUUUCCCCUUCGGGGGCAAAAUGACAGGUGGUGCAUGGUUGUCGUCAGCUCGUGUCGUGAGAUGUUGGGUUAAGUCCCGCAACGAGCGCAACCCUUAUGACUAGUUGCCAGCAUUUAGUUGGGCACUCUAGUAAGACUGCCGGUGACAAACCGGAGGAAGGUGGGGAUGACGUCAAAUCAUCAUGCCCCUUAUGACCUGGGCUACACACGUGCUACAAUGGAUGGUACAACGAGUUGCGAGACCGCGAGGUCAAGCUAAUCUCUUAAAGCCAUUCUCAGUUCGGACUGUAGGCUGCAACUCGCCUACACGAAGUCGGAAUCGCUAGUAAUCGCGGAUCAGCACGCCGCGGUGAAUACGUUCCCGGGCCUUGUACACACCGCCCGUCACACCAUGAGAGUUUGUAACACCCGAAGCCGGUGGCGUAACCCUUUUAGGGAGCGAGCCGUCUAAGGUGGGACAAAUGAU
rnacentral:rRNA from 1 species